UCUAAAAUCUAAAUUAUGCAGACUAUCUUUGUCGGAUCAAAAAGAUUUUUAAUCAUUAAUAAUUUGAAAACAAAGCUGAAAUAUCACUUAUUUCUUGAUUUUUAUGUCACAAUAUUAAAAGAAUCUAUAUAAGUGUUCAUACAAUAUUAGAUAAAUUUUUUUUAAACAAUCUUACCUUACCUGCAUAACAUUAUUUGACCAUGUACAUUACGAACACAUACAGAUCAUUCUUAUGAAGGUGAACUUUUAAUGCUCGUGACUCCGAAAUUUUGGAUCUACACACCAGCAUUCUUGCCGCUUCCGAGAGUUGAUAUUCCUAUUCCUUACAUCGGUCUUGUGGGUGAAAAAGGCCGAAGACAUAGCAUAUAAGAAAUUGAAAUUGUCGGAAGCGCGGCGAUAUUUGAAACGUCAUGGUACAAUUCUCUUUCUGAGAAGACUGUGCGGUUCUGGUUGCGCAGUAAAAUGAUGGGGAUAAGCGCGCCAACUUACAACUUACAGCUUAUUGAUAGAGUUGUACCUACAAGUGUACGCGAGUCGGUAGUAGUAAAUCUUGGCAUAACAGUCUCACCCAUUUGAUCUAUCUGGCUCUUUGUAUAUAAAGUUUACGUUCGAACGAUCGAAUAUGAGAGACAGUCAAACUCCCAGUUAAUCCAUCAAAUUCAAGGAAAAUGUCAUUAAGCAGAGUAUUAAAAACCAUAUCUUUCAAUAUUCUGACAAUGAGAAGGAUAGCUAUAUGGAUAGUCAUUUUAAUUCAACCAGUGGCAGUGAAGAAGAUAACAAAGGUACAUACAAUAAUGUGGUUAAUGAAAAAAAAACAAAGACUAAAGAAAGAUUCCAAAACAGUGGAAGAAUGAGCAUAGAUUCAGACUCUGGGAAUAGUGUCAACAGUACAGUAAAUUCUAUUCAAUUGUCCCUCAGCUUGUAAACAAAAAUGGACAAGUUGGAAAGAAGGGAUAU